AUCUUUUUUCCAUAUAUAGGUCGUCUUACAAUGGGGUUUGUGUUUAUAUUCGGACCAAUACGGUACAGCGGGCGCUCACAUGACGUUAAGCAUUUCCUGAACCUAAAAUCCCGUUUCUCCCCGUUGACACAACACAUAACCGGCGUUUUCAGAAAUCUCCACUUUGGCCGGAGUUUUUAGAAAUAAUCGUUUUCUGUGAUAAGACAGGGCCUCAGACAGGGGUUGCGGCAGCACCCCCAGCACCCCUACUUCCCGCGGUACUGUUUAUAAUUAUCCUAAUUCGUUCUUGUGUUUUCUUCUUCUCCUUCUUCAAAAUUCUUCAUUCGCUUCUGUCACGGCCUUUUAAAAAUGGCGCUAUUAUGCUGUAAAACCUGAAAUGUGAGACUCCUGAAAGGAUGUGGUUAGCUGGCCAAUCACAGUCUUUGCGAGCUGCGUAGGGCCGUAGUGUUUUAGUCACAUAGUCAGGAAUUUGGGCCGACGCACUUAAGCACGUAAGGGGGGAUAUUUUAUCGCGCAAGGGGGGGUUAUGUAUCUUACGUGCUUACGCGUUACGUCUAAAACAGAGCAUAUAUCGGCCUUUACUUCUUACUCACCGCUAGGUUUUUCUUAGCACAGCAGAGACAUUGCGUGCAGAACAGUUUCCCUCUGGUCUCACAUAGAGUCAGCCAAGCAAAAUCCUUGAACCACUGGUAUUGCAAGGAUCGGGUGCGUUGUGAAGAACCUGUCCCUUGCACCCUCUUGGUUCUUUUUAGCACAUCGGGAUUGCUUGGUUGAUGAGGCGUUGUAAGAUCCCUGCAGCACUCACUUGAGCAGUUCCCAUGGCUAGCCUCAGCUAGGUUUGGUUCGGUUAGCGUAGUUGGAGUUGAAGAACAUUCCUCUCUGUUGCUUGGUUGGUGGUCCCCAGUUGAAGGUUGGGGUACAGCUGUCCCAUCAGAUGAUGCUGCGCUUUUUAUUUGUUUUCCUUUGAAAUAUUCAAAAAUGGUUUUGUGCCUUUUCAUUUUGAUAUUCCAAUCCACGCCACGAACAAUCUCUGCAGUCUACCACAAUCACUAGUUCUACUUCUUUCGCGCGAUUUUCAGUGCUGCGCACAUUGGCGUCAGUUUGGUUUGAAAUGUGGUGGGGACAGAGACGCAAUCUGGAAUGCAUUUUUAGAAGUGCUGGGGAUGCACCUUAUUUUUCUUUAGCGCAGGUCAUGAAAGGUUCUGAAGACGGGAUACCUGUCUAGCUUACUAAUUAAUACGAUUUUUACAAAAAAAUUAUGUCUGACACGUUUUAUGAAGAAAGCGUUUUCAAAAAGCAUUGGACAUGAUGACCCACAAUGUUCUGCUCCAUGAU
rnacentral:lncRNA from 1 species